GAUGAAGAACGUAGCGAAAUGCGAUACUUGGUGUGAAUUGCAGAAUCCCGUGAACCAUCGAGUCUUUGAACGCAAGUUGCGCCCGAAGCCAUUAGGCCGAGGGCACGCCUGCCUGGGCGUCACACGUCGUUGCCCCCCCAUCUACUCCUUCGGGAUUGCGGGGGGCGGAUGAUGGCCUCCCGUGCGCCUCGCCGCGCGGUUGGCAUAAAUGCCAAGUCCUCGGCGACGCACGCCACGACAAUCGGUGGUUGCGAAACCUCGGUUGCCCGUCGUGUGCGGUCGUCGCGCAUCGAGGGCUCGAAAAAAUUGCCGGGUUCCGGCUCGGCUUUCAACGCGACCCCAGGUCAGGCGGGGUUACCCGGUGAAUUUAAGCAUAUCAAUAAGCGGAGGA
rnacentral:misc_RNA from 1 species